rfam:Oryza glumipatula chromosome 1, whole genome shotgun sequence.
AAAAAGGCAAACCCUGAGUUUCCGUGUCCAACUUUGAUUGUCCGUCUUAUAUAAAAUUUUUUUAUAAUUCGUAUUUUCAUUGUUGUUAGAUGAUAAAAUAUUAUUAAUAUUUUAUACGUGACUUGUCUUUUUAAUUUUUUUCAUAAUUUUUUCAAAUAAGACGGACGGUCAAACGGUGGACACGGAAACUAGGGUUUGUCUUUUU